rnacentral:rRNA from 1 species
AGGUCUUAGUGAUCCGGUGGUUCUGAAUGGAAGGGCCAUCGCUCAACGGAUAAAAGGUACUCCGGGGAUAACAGGCUGAUACCGCCCAAGAGUUCAUAUCGACGGCGGUGUUUGGCACCUCGAUGUCGGCUCAUCACAUCCUGGGGCUGAAGUAGGUCCCAAGGGUAUGGCUGUUCGCCAUUUAAAGUGGUACGCGAGCUGGGUUUAGAACGUCGUGAGACAGUUCGGUCCCUAUCUGCCGUGGGCGUUGGAAGAUUGAGAGGGGCUGCUCCUAGUACGAGAGGACCGGAGUGGACGAAUCACUGGUGUUCGGGUUGUCAUGCCAAUGGCAUUGCCCGGUAGCUAAAUUCGGAAGAGAUAACCGCUGAAAGCAUCUAAGCGGGAAACUUGCCUCGAGAUGAGUCUUCCCUGGGACUUAAAGUCCCCUGAAGGAACGUUAAAGACUAUGACGUUGAUAGGCUGGGUGUGUAAGUGCAGCGAUGUAUUGAGCUAACCAGUACUAAUGAUCCGUGAGGCUUAACCUUACAACACCGAAGGUGUUU